rnacentral:rRNA from 1 species
GUCGAGCGAAUGGAUUGAGAGCUUGCUCUCAAGAAGUUAGCGGCGGACGGGUGAGUAACACGUGGGUAACCUGCCCAUAAGACUGGGAUAACUCCGGGAAACCGGGGCUAAUACCGGAUAACAUUUUGAACUGCAUGGUUCGAAAUUGAAAGGCGGCUUCGGCUGUCACUUAUGGAUGGACCCGCGUCGCAUUAGCUAGUUGGUGAGGUAACGGCUCACCAAGGCAACGAUGCGUAGCCGACCUGAGAGGGUGAUCGGCCACACUGGGACUGAGACACGGCCCAGACUCCUACGGGAGGCAGCAGUAGGGAAUCUUCCGCAAUGGACGAAAGUCUGACGGAGCAACGCCGCGUGAGUGAUGAAGGCUUUCGGGUCGUAAAACUCUGUUGUUAGGGAAGAACAAGUGCUAGUUGAAUAAGCUGGCACCUUGACGGUACCUAACCAGAAAGCCACGGCUAACUACGUGCCAGCAGCCGCGGUAAUACGUAGGUGGCAAGCGUUAUCCGGAAUUAUUGGGCGU